rnacentral:rRNA from 1 species
CACGUAGGGUGCGAGCGUUGUCCGGAAUUAUUGGGCGUAAAGAGCUCGUAGGCGGUGUGUCGCGUCGACCGUGAAAACCUGCAGCUUAACUGUGGGCUUGCGGUCGAUACGGGCAUCACUGGAGUUCGGCAGGGGAGACUGGAAUUCCUGGUGUAGCGGUGAAAUGCGCAGAUAUCAGGAGGAACACCGGUGGCGAAGGCGGUUCUCUGGGCCUUACCUGACGCUGAGGAGCGAAAGCGUGGGGAGCAAACAGG